AGGCCUGUAGCUCGAAUUGGUAGAGCGCCGGUCUCCAAAACCGGAAGUUGGGGGUUCGAGUCCCUCCAGGCCUGCUA
rnacentral:tRNA from 1 species